rnacentral:ribozyme from 1 species
UAGCAGUUUAGAAAGACUGCUAACUUUAAUGCAACCAAUAAAGGCCGUGACAAGUCGGUGGACAAUGCAGAGUCAAAGU